AAAAAUAUGGCAAAUAUUCUUUUUAAAAAAAAUAAAAUAAAAAAGGCAAGUCCGAAUCCAAACAAAAAAACACGCGUAGACCAUACAUCCCUGCCCAACAUCGGCCACACCCCGCCGCCUGUCAAUCAACCGGGCGGAGUGGCGUUCAGGUUGACGACACAACCUCGCCGCGGGGACUUUUCAAACGCAAAAAAUAGACAGACUUACGAGGACUGGGGUGACUUACGUGAGUGUGGCACAACCACAUAUCAGCGUAGCGAUAGCCCUAGAUAGAACCCAAGACGGACCUUACAGCACAAGAGGCGGCAUGUAUCUAAAAUCAGAUCUUAAUAUAAACGCAUGCCCUAAUUUUCACGGGACAAGCCCUUUUAAGUCAUCAAAAUUUGAUGCGAAGACGAUCGAGCUCUCCAGUGGUUACUAGUCGAAUACGAAACUGCAAAUCUGUAACUUCAGGAAUAUUUCAUGAAUAAAAACUGGUUUGGUUCACAUCAACUUUCCGAUCUGAAGAUAUUUUUCAAUUAUCAUAGAUAUUAUCAAAUAAUGGUCAACCCCAUUAUAACAAUUAUUUUUAUACUAACUUUUCUAUUGUAGGUCACGAACGGCCUACAAAAAAAAUAAUAUCCACAAUGAAAAAAGGCGGAAAAACACGGCCUAACUCCGCCAAUGCCAGCCCCAAGCUCUAAGCAAAAGGGGGAGGGUUAGUCAGGAGGCACAAUACAAGGUCGACGCAGAGUCUCAUGCGGCGGCAAAUAAAUAACAAUCGUGCUAAAGAGACCUUGGCACUUUUCAUAAAACUCUUGAGGAGUUAAAUUUUUCUGUACUAAAAGAGCUAGAUUAUUAUGUAAGGCGGUCUCAUCUCGCUGGUCUGCAAAAUUGUUAAUUUGGGCUUCUCUUAUCCCAUGCCAGUUAUCUGGGAUGCCGUUUGAAUUUAUUGUUCGGGCGGCAUUUCCAUUAAUUUUAUUUAAAAUACCGUUUAUUAAAGCUAAGUUACUGAGUUCAAAUCCUGCCUCUGCUUUUAAACUGGACAACUAAUUGGUCACAUAAAUGUAUAAAACGCGUGAGAACAUUCGGGUUGCCAUCAAAUUCGGACAACAGGCGUAAGGUCUUGUAAACUUGAUCGACUAAAUUUUCACUCAUUUUUCUACUGCAAUCAUAAAAAAAAAUAUUCGAAAGCUAAUUAUCUCAUUAAGAAAGUAAUACACUUCCUAAAAUAUUUCCUAAAAUCCUAUUCGCACCGAUUUGCAAUAUUCCAUUAAUAAUGGAGGUCCGUGAUUUUCGUGAUUGAAAACACACACAAGGAAAGGAAAAAAAAUACCUUUAGGAAAAAGGAAACUACUGAUAGGAUAGGAAAGUCCAUAACAUACAUAUUCGAUUCGAUGUGUCGAUUUUCGGAUAUUCCUCCCGUUGCUCCCGUAGGUUCGGUAUAGUCAUUGUCUACUGUGCUAGUAGUUCGUUACGACUAUCCUACAGCAUGCGCCACUUACGUUUUGGUGCAGCAGGGGGUUGAGAAUGCAAACGCGACUGAUACUUUAAUACUUAUUUUAAUGAAAUUAAUCCAAAAAAAACUUAUAACUCUAAUUUCGGCGAUCGAAAUAUAGAGAACCUAAUACUAGCCAGAUGUCCCACUGACUGACCAAAGUGCGCCUUGCAUCGCGUGUUCUCCUCUACUAGUAACUACUACUACUAACUACGUAAAUCGCUACGUGAAUCCAUCGCAACGGAGUAUGUAGGGCGCUGAACAAGCACAUUCUGCCGCCCAAGGUUAGAUGAGAGUAGGGCAUUGGAACAUUGCUGUCGUUGCAACCUACUGGACUACAGCGGUCAUAACAACUUCGUCUAAGGAUUGUGACGCCAACACAUAGCUAAUAUUAUAAAUACAGACGGGUUAGAUCAUGGGAUCUAACCAUCAAGAAGUGCCGCAAAAGGCGAUUUAACUAUCACUGGGCGCCAUAGGCACACUUCGACUCUGAGUCAGAGUUGGUCCCGGAAAACAACAUGACGGCGGGUGAAGUGUGUUUUAGCACAACGAAAUAUUUUAGUGAGGUACGCAAUACUUUUGAGUACAAUUUUUUUUCCGCCGACUUUUAAACAACUCUGGGUACAAACACGCUGGUAAUAUAAUAUACAACCAUGACCGCAUUCUAACGCUACGGGUACACAAGUAUUCAAAAAAAUUGAUUUAUUACGGAAAAAAGUCACUAUUAUUGACAAAAAAGUGCGUGGGCGACAAAAAACCUUUUCAAGAAGUGGUUUGAAUGUGUGGUCAAUGCUUCAUACCAGAAAUGGUUGAUCAUACUUUACCUUAAAAAGCCUAAUUACUUCUUGAUAACGCUCUGAUCAUUCGUCUGAACAAGAACUGAUAACUGACUGAUACGAGUAUUGAGAGAGAUGUUUAUUCCGCCAAACUGCACUGCACAGAUUCAACAAGAAAAACCCAUUUCUGAAAUCCAUAUCAAAAGACCGGCCUAUAGAAAAAACGCCAUAUAAUUUAAUAUGAUGAUAUGUUAUGUAUGUUAUGGACUGGCCGUACAAAUACAAAGCAUACGACGUCUGUCUCAGCCGACGUCAGAGAGGGGACGUCAUCUACUCAUCAUUCAGUAGGCUAUACAGCGAGACUGCCGUCCGAAGAGCGGGCAUUCGCUAAUAUGAAAAAGAGAAAACCUCUCAUUCAGUAUAGAUCUACAAAGCGUACGAUGUCUGUCUCAGGCGACGUUUCACUAGACAACGUCCCAGAUUGGACGUCAUCUGCUCAUCAUUCAGUAGACUAUACAGCGAGACUGAAGAACGGGCAUUCGCUAAUAUGAAAAAGAGAAAACCUCUCAUUCAGUAUAGAUCUACAAAGCAUACGACGUCUGUCUCAGCCGACGUCCCAGAGGGGACGUCAUCUGCUCAUCAUUCAGUAGACUAUACACCGAGAUUGCCGUCCGAAGAGCGGGCAUUCGCUAUUAUGAAAAAGAGAAAAUAGCUGCCUUUAUCGCCGAGCACUGUUCCUUGUUAACUUCAUCAGAUGCUCUAAAAAAACCUAAAAAUUCAACGAACUAAGUGUUCAAUGCUAAUAAAAAAUUUACUUGGUUCAUCGAAGUUUUGGUUGAAGAUAUAGGAAAUUUUCCGCACUCCCAUUAUAAUAAAUGAAAGUGAUGAAUCUUUCGACAUUAAAAAGUGUUACGCAUUAUGAUUCGCUUUCUUUCACACAAGGCAAAUCAAAUUACGUACAGAUAAUAAAAUAAUGCAAAAAGUGUGCACGUAGCAAUUGUCAAUUACCUAAGAAUUAUCGCAUAAAAAUUGAAAAUACCGCAUAAAUCGGGAUCAAACGUUAUGGUUGGUAAACAUAAUUCGGUGACUGGUAUUCUCAAAAGCGAGCUGCUUGAUUUAAUUGUUAUCAAAUGUGUUUGCCUCUCUUUGAAUUUAUGCGCGAAAAAGGCGGUUGAAUCAUCACCACGCCAAAUAGAAUUUCUUCUAAAAGAAACCCACAACUGGUUUUCAUACAGCCCUAAACGUUUGGAUUAUUACGGAAAAUUAUAUGAAACCAUGAAUAAUAAAUAACACUGAUCCGAAAAUAAUUCAAGGACUUACCGGAACGCGCUGGCUCGCUAGUUAUCAAGCUAUUAACACAAUAUUGGAGCAGUGGGAGGAAUUGAAACUGAUUCUUCUAUUGCAAAAUCUGAUGUCAAAUGUCAGUCAGAACAGCUUUUUGGUAUCAUGCGGAGGCUUCCUUUUAAAGCUUUAUUGAUUUUUCUAUGAAAAUUAAUUAAAACAUGUGACGCAGUUAACCUUACUUUUUCAAAGUAACAAUGUUGAACCUAUCAAAUUCUUUGAGGAUUUGUUUUUGUUAUACAAAAAUUUGCUAAAACGACUUGUUGUACCUUCACAGUUGCAAAAAUUUGUAAACUCUGAACUGAGAUAAUUUAAUUUCCGGGAAAAUCUGAUGCAUACAGCAUCAAAGUAUUUUGAUUUUGGCUUUCAUACCAUAUCACAAGAACUUGAAGAAAAGGAUCUGUUGGAUGUCAGGUAACGAUGCAAGAUCUAUGUAUGUUCUCUGAACAAGCAGAUUCAGAAAACAUUUUCGAAUAAAUUAUCACUGUUACUGAUUUGCACCAAAGAGGUGCUACAUCUCAAAUCAACCCGACAUAAAACCAAUAUUUAAUCACAUUCAGCGAACUCAUAAAUAUGGCAAGGGACAUAAAAACUGUGACUAACAAAUCACCAUAAAUUAAUUAACCCCACAAAAAAGUAUAGGCUUGUUUACAAUAAUGGCAAAAAUAAAAAUACGUAAUAUGUAUCCUUUUCCAUAUUUUUAUUUUUGUAAUUUGGAAAACUAUCAACGUCGCUUUGAAGCUACAUGAGUGAAAUACCAGGGGAUACAAAAGCAGUAACUAGCAAAUCACCAAAACCAAUUAAUUUACACCACUUAAAAAAAUUGUAGGCUUGAUUUAGUAUAAUGGCAAAAUAAAAAUAUGAAAUAUAUUUUCUUCAUCCUUUUUCAUAUUUUUAUUUUCUUAAUUUGGAAAACUAUCAGCGACGCUUUGAGACUGCAUUAGUGACAUACCAGGGGACACAAAAACAGUGUCUAACUAAUCACCGAAACUAAUUUGUUUGACCCUACAAAAGAGUCUGGGCUUGUUUACAAUAGUAGCAAAAAUAAAAAUAUGAAAAAUAUUAUAUUCUUCAUCCUUUUCCAUAUUUAUAUUUUUGUAAUUUGGAAAACUAUCAACGACGCUUUGAGGCUUGAAUGAAAUACCGGGAGACACAAAAACAGUAACUAACAAAUCACCAAAAGCAAUUAAUUUACACCACACAGAAAAGUGUAGGCUUGCUUUACUAUAAUGGCAAAAUAAAAAUAUGAAAUAUAUUUUCUUCAUCCUUUUUCAUAUUUUUAUUUUCUUAAUUUGGAAAACUAUCGGCGACGCUUUGAGGCUGCAUGAGUGACAUACCAGUGGACACAAAAGCAGUGUCUAACAAAUCACCGAAACUAAUUUGUUUAACCCCACAAAAAAGUAUGGACUUGUUUACGAUAGUGGCAAAAAUAAAAAUAUAAAAUAUAUUAUAUUCUUCAUCCUUUUCCAUAUUUUUAUUUUUGUAAUUUGGAAAACUAUCAACGACGCUUUGAGGCUACAUGAGUGAAAUACAAGGGGAUACAAAAGCAGUAACUAACUAGUCACCAAAACCAAUUAAUUUACACCACACAGAAAAGUGUAGGCUUGAUUGACUAUAAUGGCAAAAUAAAAAUAUGAAAUAUAUUUUCUUCAUCCUUUUUCAUAUUUUUAUUUUCUUUCACAGGAGUCUUCCGUGAGUACAUAUUUCUUUGCACAUUCAGGUAUUACUAAAUGGCCGCAGUUAAAGAAUGUAUAAAUCUUUGUUCCAGUUUCCGUUGGCAAUGAAUCUGUAUAGCGACUAAAUUUCAUGUUUGGGGUUGGGCUUGAGAGAAUUGAUAUUAACAGUGGGAAAAAAAAAAGUUAUAAGAAUGAGUUUCGAGAACCUUUAAGAAUUUAAAAGGGUGAUUUAUGAGUUUCUACGAGUUUCGAAGAGGUUGUACGAAUCCGUCGUGACAUCGCGGGAUUCAUGGAAGGCUUUAAGAAGUUUAGUGCUUAACGAUUUAUGGUGGUAUUUUGUAUUUUGGUGUAUUAUGAUAUUUUGUUUAAUUUUGUUCAAUACAAAUAUUAUGCUGUUUUAGGAAAACAAAGAAAAAAUAAUAGUCUAAAGUAGUACAUGCUUAAUUAAAAGUUUAGUUAUGCUUCCUCUUACGGAGGUGGGAUUGUGGGAAAAUAAACAAACUUUCCGUUUGGUUGGUUGGUGUGAAAUACCGGUAGUAUGAUUUGGACCCACGGGCUCUCAAUUCAACGACUGAGAUACCGGGACAUUAGAGCCUUUGAGUCCGGUCCAAGUAACCCACAUCUUCUUUCCUCCGUGGGACGAGAAAAAAAAUCACUCGCACUAAGCGUAUAUAAUUUAUCAUAGUUUCUGGUUAUAUAAUAAGAAAUAACUGACAAAUAAAGAAUUUCUGGACUUUCUGUGUGAGUCGUUAUUAUUUCAUCCAAAUAGCCUCACAGUCUCAAUUAGAUAAGUUAGGUUAGUUUAGUAGGUAAUAGCAUACAGUGACCAGGUGGACUGGAACCCAGGACCUCUGGAGCUGGAUUUAAACAUAAGUUCUGACACAUUUUUUUUCUUUUGUGACGUGUGGGCCUGCGGCCUCCAACCCUGUAGGCCUGCGCAGUCGCAAUUUACACCACACAGAAAAGUGUAGGCUUGAUUUACUAAAAUGGCAAAAUAAAAACAUGAAAUAUAUUUUCUUCAUCUUUUUCCAUACUUAUAUUUUUGUAAUUUGCAAAACUAUCAACGACGCUUUGAGGCUACAUGAGUGACAUACCAGGGGACACAAAAGCAGUGUCUAACAAAUCACCGAAACUAAUUUGUUUAACCCCACAAAAAAGUAUGGGCUUGUUUACUAUAAUGGCAAAAAUAAAAAUAUGAAAUAUAUUAUAUUCUUCAUCCUUUUCCAUAUUUAUAUUUUCUUAAUUUGGAAAACUAUCGGCGACGCUUUGAGGCUACAUGAGUGAAAUACCAGGGGAUACAAAAGCAGUAACUAACAAGUCACCAAAACCAAUUAAUUUACACCACACAGAAAAGUGUAGGCUUGAUUGACUAUAAUGGCAAAAUAAAUAUAUGAAAUAUAUUUUCUUCAUCCUUUUUCAUAUUUUUAUUGUCUUAAUUUGGAAAACUAUCGGCGACGCUUUGAGGCUGCUUGAGUGACAUACCAGGGGACACAAAAGCAGUGUCUAACAAAUCACCGAAACUAAUUUGUUUAACCCCACAAAAAAGUACGGGCUUGUUUACGAUAGUGGCAAAAAUAAAAAUAUGAAAUAUAUUAUAUUCUUUAUCCUUUUCCAUAUUCUUAUUUUUGUAAUUUGGAAAACUAUCAACGACGCUUUGAGGCUAGAUGAGUGAAAUACCAGGGGAUACAAAAGCAGUAACUAACAAGUCACCAAAACCAAUUAAUUUACACCACACAGAAAAGUGUAGGCUUGAUUGACUAGAAUGGCAAAAUAAAAAUAUGAAAUAUAUUUUCUUCAUCUUUUUCCAUACUUAUAUUUUCUUAAUUUAGAAAACUAUCAACGACGCUUUGAGGCUACAUGAGUGACAUACCAGGGGACACAAAAGCAGUGUCUAACAAAUCACCGAAACUAAUUUGUUUAACCCCACAAAAAAGUAUGGGCUUGUUUACGAUAGUGGCAAAAAUAAAAAUAUGAAAUAUAUUAUAUUCUUCAUCCUUUUCCAUAUUUUUAUUUUUGUAAUUUGGAAAACUAUCAACGACGCUCUGAGGCUACAUGAGUGAAAUACCAGGGGAUACAAAAGCAGUAACUAACAAGUCACCAAAACCAAUUAAUUUACACCACACAGAAAAGUGUAGGCUUGAUU
rnacentral:lncRNA from 1 species